rnacentral:rRNA from 1 species
UGGUUUGAUUAUGGCUCAGGACGAACGCUGGCGGCGUGCCUAAUACAUGCAAGUAGAACGCUGAAGUCUGGUGCUUGCACUAGACGGAUGAGUUGCGAACGGGUGAGUAACGCGUAGGUAACCUGCCUCAUAGCGGGGGAUAACUAUUGGAAACGAUAGCUAAUACCGCAUAACAGUAUUUACCGCAUGGCAGAUACUUGAAAGGAGCAAUUGCUUCACUAUGAGAUGGACCUGCGUUGUAUUAGCUAGUUGGUGAGGUAACGGCUCACCAAGGCUUCGAUACAUAGCCGACCUGAGAGGGUGAUCGGCCACACUGGGACUGAGACACGGCCCAGACUCCUACGGGAGGCAGCAGUAGGGAAUCUUCGGCAAUGGGGGCAACCCUGACCGAGCAACGCCGCGUGAGUGAAGAAGGUUUUCGGAUCGUAAAGCUCUGUUGUAAGAGAAGAACUGUGAGAAGAGUGGAAAGUUUCUCACUUGACGGUAUCUUACCAGAAAGGGACGGCUAACUACGUGCCAGCAGCCGCGGUAAUACGUAGGUCCCGAGCGUUGUCCGGAUUUAUUGGGCGUAAAGCGAGCGCAGGCGGUUUGAUAAGUCUGAAGUAAAAGGCUGUGGCUUAACCAUAGUACGCUUUGGAAACUGUCAAACUUGAGUGCAGAAGGGGAGAGUGGAAUUCCAUGUGUAGCGGUGAAAUGCGUAGAUAUAUGGAGGAACACCGGUGGCGAAAGCGGCUCUCUGGUCUGUAACUGACGCUGAGGCUCGAAAGCGUGGGGAGCGAACAGGAUUAGAUACCCUGGUAGUCCACGCCGUAAACGAUGAGUGCUAGGUGUUGGGUCCUUUCCGGGACUCAGUGCCGCAGCUAACGCAUUAAGCACUCCGCCUGGGGAGUACGACCGCAAGGUUGAAACUCAAAGGAGUUGACGGGGGCCCGCACAAGCGGUGGAGCAUGUGGUUUAAUUCGAAGCAACGCGAAGAACCUUACCAGGUCUUGACAUCCCGAUGACCGCCCUAGAGAUAGGGUUUCUCUUCGGAGCAUCGGUGACAGGUGGUGCAUGGUUGUCGUCAGCUCGUGUCGUGAGAUGUUGGGUUAAGUCCCGCAACGAGCGCAACCCUUAUUGUUAGUUGCCAUCAUUCAGUUGGGCACUCUAGCGAGACUGCCGGUAAUAAACCGGAGGAAGGUGGGGAUGACGUCAAAUCAUCAUGCCCCUUAUGACCUGGGCUACACACGUGCUACAAUGGCUGGUACAACGAGUCGCAAGUCGGUGACGGCAAGCUAAUCUCUUAAAGCCAGUCUCAGUUCGGAUUGUAGGCUGCAACUCGCCUACAUGAAGUCGGAAUCGCUAGUAAUCGCGGAUCAGCACGCCGCGGUGAAUACGUUCCCGGGCCUUGUACACACCGCCCGUCACACCACGAGAGUUUGUAACACCCGAAGUCGGUGAGGUAACCUUUUAGGAGCCAGCCGCCUAAGGUGGGAUAGAUGAUUGGGGUGAAGUCGUAACAAGGUACCC